GUGGGGAAUAUUGGGCAAUGGGCGCAAGCCUGACCCAGCAACGCCGCGUGAAGGAAGAAGGCUUUCGGGUUGUAAACUUCUUUUGUCAGGGAAGAGCAGAAGACGGUACCUGACGAAUAAGCCACGGCUAACUACGUGCCAGCAGCCGCGGUAAUACGUAGGUGGCAAGCGUUGUCCGGAUUUACUGGGUGUAAAGGGCGUGUAGGCGGGAUUGCAAGUCAGAUGUGAAAUUCCGGGGCUCAACCCCGGAACUGCAUUUGAAACUGUAGUUCUUGAGUACUGGAGAGGCAGGCGGAAUUCCUAGUGUAGCGGUGAAAUGCGUAGAUAUUAGGAGGAACACCAGUGGCGAAGGCGGCCUGCUGGACAGCAACUGACGCUGAGGCGCGAAAGCGUGGGGAGCAAACAGGAUUAGAUACCCUAGUAGUCC
rnacentral:rRNA from 1 species